rnacentral:lncRNA from 1 species
GGAAAAUUAAGAGAGAGAGAGAGCCUGAAAACAACAAAACCAAGGAGUAGAACAAACAGUGACUGAGAACCAAGAAGGCAAAAAAAGAAAAAAAGAAAAAAAAGGGAGGAGAAGAACUAUCAGCCAUGUGUGAGGAAGAGUCUACUCCAACCAAGUUAUCGGAUCACCGAAUGCGAAGUCUCCCUCCCUCUAGUUGUAGGCCAGCCUUACAAAAUGGCGAAGCAAAAUAAAAUAAUGCUAUCCAUGCAGGCAUUGACGGGACGGUAACGGGACCUCGACUCACGUGGAUGUCAUGCAGCUUCACCAAAUGACGAAAAUACCCUCCUCCCAACUAAAUCCAUUCCUAGCGUACCGCUCAAGAUCUGCCAGCUCACCUCGCAUAAUUCCGCGGGCUCAAUAAUUCGAUCCCGUAACGAAUCACGGGUGGCACGUUUCGUAAUUUUUCUAGACUACAAGGGCAUUUGACAACGAGUAGGUUCCACCCACUUCCACCCAUGUGGGCGUUGAGCGAUGGCAGAUUCCUUGCAGGAAGAGAGAGAGAGAGAGGAGAGAGAUGCGGUGAUUAUCGGGUGGGGCCCGGUGUAGGGAGGUUUGGGGGG